UACGUAGGGUGCGAGCGUUAAUCGGAAUUACUGGGCGUAAAGCGUGCGCAGGCGGUUCCUCAAGUCCGUUGUGAAAGCCCCGGGCUCAACCUGGGAAUGGCAGUGGAAACUAGGGGACUGGAAUCUGGCAGAGGGGGGUGGAAUGCCGCGUGUAGCAGUGAAAUGCGUAGAGAUGCGGCGGAACACCGAUGGCGAAGGCAGCCUCCUGGGCCAGCACUGACGCUCAUGCACGAAAGCGUGGGGAGCAAACAGG
rnacentral:rRNA from 1 species